GAUGAACGCUGGCGGCGUGCCUAAUACAUGCAAGUCGAGCGAACGGACGAGAAGCUUGCUUCUCUGAUGUUAGCGGCGGACGGGUGAGUAACACGUGGAUAACCUACCUAUAAGACUGGGAUAACUUCGGGAAACCGGAGCUAAUACCGGAUAAUAUUUUGAACCGCAUGGUUCAAAAGUGAAAGACGGUCUUGCUGUCACUUAUAGAUGGAUCCGCGCUGCAUUAGUUAGUUGGUAAGGUAACGGCUUACCAAGGCAACGAUGCAUAGCCGACCUGAGAGGGUGAUCGGCCACACUAGAACUGAGACACGGUCCAGACUCCUACGGGAGGCAACAGUAGGGAAUCUUCCGCAAUGGGCGAAAGCCUGACGGAGCAACGCCGCGUGAGUGAUGGAGGUCUUCGGAUCGUAAAGCUCUGUUAUUAGGGAAGAACAUAUGUGUAAGUAACUGUGCACAUCUUGACGGUACCUAAUCAGAAAGCCACGGCUAACUACGUG
rnacentral:rRNA from 1 species